rnacentral:rRNA from 1 species
CCUACGGGUGGCAGCAGUGGGGAAUAUUGCACAAUGGGGGCAACCCUGAUGCAGCGACGCCGCGUGAAUGAAGAAGUAUUUCGGUAUGUAAAGCUCUAUCAGCAGGGAAGAAAAUGACGGUACCUGAUUUAGAUGCUCCGGCUAACUACGUGCCAGCAGCCGCGGUACUACGUAGGGGGCAAGCGUUAUCCGGAUUUACUGGGUGUAAAGGGGGCGUAGACGGCAGCACAAGUCUGGAGUGAAAUGUCGGGGCUUAACCCCGGAACUGCAUUGGAAACUGUGCAGCUAGAGUGCAGGAGAGGUAAGUGGAAUUCCUAGUGUAGCGGUGAAAUGCGUAGAUAUAAGGAGGAACACCAGUGGCGAAGGCGGCUGACUGGACUGUAACUGACGUUGAGGCUCGAAAGCGUGGGGAGCAAACAGGAUUAGAUACCCGGGUAGUC